rnacentral:lncRNA from 1 species
GGAGGGGGUCGUCACCUAUUUAAUGACGUAUUCAAAUAUCAUAUACACCCACCGUGGUCUUUCUCCGUCAUCUCACGGGUAACUUGACAAACACGACUUCAAAUAAUUUCACAGGCUAGCUUCCGCAGGGGGUUGGAAUUCAACGCCAUACGGUAUUAGUUUACAAAACAGCACCACCGGGCGGGUGCUAUUGGCCGGCCUCGGGUUCCCUCAGCCCUCCGGGCAUUGUGAACUUCUAACUUGGGCUGAAUUUGGAUACGCCCGCUCGCCGACUCGCUGAAUAAUGUAAAUGUCCUCAGGUUCUCAGAGAGACGCGGCGCAGCUUCCCCUGAUCAUAUGGUAACGGAUCGUAGCUAUUCGCAGUCCGGAGGAUGAGCACGCAGGUCAUGCGUAAAGAAAAGGUUAAUGGGGAAUAAAGAUGUUAAGCUUCUGCUAAAAAUCGAGUCGAACCGGAUGGGUUCGUGAACGUCAGGCUGCCGGCGUGUUUGCGCUAGACACAGACGACGCUAGUUAACCUCGCUGGAGGUGCAAGUUGUUGAAUUUGCUUUUGGUUUGUUGCCUUUUCGCUUCUGCAAAAAAAUAAAAUGGGAUGCUCGUCAAGUACCCAGACCCUGUCGCAAGAAGGGAACAGACCGGGCACGAAAGCCGAAGAAAGUAACGGAGCUAGUAACACAAUCGUGGCUCAGAAUCAGAACAGAGCCAGUGCUGAGGACUGUGAAACUAUAGCAGACCAAGUUCCUCUUCCGAUCCAGAGUUUCGAGGAUAUCCCCUGCUCACAGGACCAGCGGCACUGGUUCAGUGCGGAGCCCCCGGGGGCAGUCCCCGAGAGUCCCCAUGACACCGAGCCCCCCCAGGAUGACACAGCGGCACUGUCUGAGGCCCCCGCAGAACUACAGCUCCUUGCUCAUGCGCCCGCAGCCGCCGAGCAGCAGGCCGAGGCGGAGGAGACGUCCGCUACCCCGGGGGCCGCCGCCGCCGUCGUCUCUUCGGGCUGCGCGACGCCCGACCCAGAGGACGAGCCAGACGCGCCCGGCGCUCCAGACGCCGAGCCGCCCGGCGAACCCGGGGCUCAGGACGCCGCCUCAGAAGAUGACCCCGCGGGCAAGGAGGCGGCAGACGCCAGCGCGGAGGGCAGCGCAGAAGACUCGUCCAGCUGCCCAGCCGGGGAGUCAGAGGUGACACCAGUGGAGGCCGACAUGCCCCCCGCCUCCGCUGAGACCGCAGAGGAAACCCAGACCUCAGAGAGCCAGGUCGAAGGCGAGACGGGGGAGAAGGUGGAAGAGGAGACACAGCAGGAGACAAAGCCAGCAGAGCCGGCAGACACGGAGCAGGCAGAGGUGGAGGAGCUAGUGGACACUCUCUCUGCUACCAGCGUGGAGUAA